rfam:Phanerochaete carnosa HHB-10118-sp unplaced genomic scaffold PHACAscaffold_1, whole genome shotgun sequence.
GGCGCUAUAGUGUAGUGGCUAUCACUUGGGAUUCUGAUUACUAAAAUUCCCAAAACCCAGGUUCGAGCCCUGGUAGCGCCU